rnacentral:lncRNA from 1 species
CUCAAAAUGGCUAUAUUGCUACACCAUCAACUUAUAAGUCAUUUCUUUCUCCCUUCUUUUUCUCUUUGGUGUGGGAUUAUUUAUCUUUCUUUACAUCGUUUUUCCUUUUUCUAUUUUUCAUUCUCCAAUACUCCCCCCUCAAAUAUAACUAGGCUUGACCCACUCUUUAGAGCCCAGUUAUCAUUUGCCCACACAUAUUAUUUGUGAGUCUGGCCCUUAAAUGUCUAACCCAUUUCCAAUUUGGGUGGCCCUCCAUCUUCUAUUUGCGAGUCUAACCCUAUAUUUCCAACUUGGCUCAAAUGUCGAUUCUUUUGCAGUGGCCUUACAUGUCCAGCCCAUUUUAUUUCUUUCACAGGUUCAAGACUUGCGGCGGUUAAGCCGUUUGAGCUCUAGUACCACUAUUGGAAUUUCGGCAGGCCGAGGAGUGCUGGCCUAAGACAUCUUCCAUAUUUGCAAAAUGAGCUUGAGCUGAUGUUGUUGUAGUCUUCUAUCAAAAUG